CCUACGGGAGGCAGCAGUAGGGAAUCUUCCACAAUGGACGAAAGUCUGAUGGAGCAACGCCGCGUGAGCGAUGAAGGCCUUCGGGUCGUAAAGCUCUGUUGUUAGGGAAGAACAAGUAUCGGAGUAACUGCCGGUACCUUGACGGUACCUGACCAGAAAGCCACGGCUAACUACGUGCCAGCAGCCGCGGUAAUACGUAGGUGGCAAGCGUUGUCCGGAAUUAUUGGGCGUAAAGCGCGCGCAGGCGGUUUCUUAAGUCUGAUGUGAAAGCCCCCGGCUCAACCGGGGAGGGUCAUUGGAAACUGGGAAACUUGAGUGCAGAAGAGGAAAGUGGAAUUCCAAGUGUAGCGGUGAAAUGCGUAGAGAUUUGGAGGAACACCAGUGGCGAAGGCGACUUUCUGGUCUGUAACUGACGCUGAGGCGCGAAAGCGUGGGGAGCAAACAGGAUUAGAUACCCUGGUAGUCCACGCUGUAAACGAUGAGUGCUAAGUGUUAGAGGGUUUCCGCCCUUUAGUGCUGAAGUUAACGCAUUAAGCACUCCGCCUGGGGAGUACGGUCGCAAGACUGAAACUCAAAGGAAUUGACGG
rnacentral:rRNA from 1 species